GACGAACGUUGGCGGCGUGCUUAAUACAUGCAAGUCAACUGAAGCAGUGGUAGCAAUAUCGCUGUGGAGGUGGCGCACGGGUGAGUAACACGUAGGUAAUCUGCCCUCAGGUCUGGCAUAACUCCGGGAAACCGGGGCUAAUAGCAGAUGAUGCAGCGGCUCGACAUCGAGACAGUUGUUAAAGCUAUGGCGCCUGAAGAUGAGCCUGCGUCUGAUUAGCUAGUUGGCGGGGUAACGGCCCACCAAGGCAACGAUCAGUAGCUGGUCUGAGAGGAUGAUCAGCCACACUGGAACUGAGACACGGUCCAGACUCCUGCGGGAGGCAGCAGUAAGGAAUAUUGCUCAAUGGGAGAAAUCCUGAAGCAGCAACGCCGCGUGAGGGACGAAGGGCUUUUGCUUGUAAACCUCUGUAGUGAGAGAAAAAAAUCCCAAUCUUUGGGACAUGAUGGUAUCUCAAAAGUAAGCCCCGGCUAACUACGUG
rnacentral:rRNA from 1 species